CUUGAUCGUUCUUGAUUUUUUUUUAGUAUUCUUUGGCAUCUUUAAAUCUUUCAGAGAUUGAGAAAUGAGUACUUAAAAAAAUAAAAAAAUAUACUUUGAGUGAAAAUGUGGUUUUUCACAUUGUAUUUUCAGUGAUUAAUGAAAAUUUAGUGAAUUGAUGACCUCCUUCUAAGUUUUACCAGAACGUGUGUGUGUGUGUCCGUGUCCUUCACUUAUGCCAGCAACGCUUUGCUGAAUGAGGGAGAAGGCCCAAGGAUAGGGAGAGUAGGCUUUGGGAAGCUGGUUGGAAGCAGCGGUACUACAAGAACAAAUUUGAUGUUGAUGCAGCUGAUGACAAAUUCCGUCGUAAAGUUGUACAGUCUUACGUUGAAGGGCUCUGCUGGGUUCUUCGAUAUUAUUACCAGGGCUGCGCUUCCUGGAAGUGGUAUUAUCCAUUUCAUUAUGCACCAUUUGCUUCAGACUUUGAAGGUAUUGCAGACAUGCCUUCUGAUUUUGAGAAGGGUACUAAACCGUUUAAACCACUGGAACAACUUAUGGGAGUUUUUCCAGCUGCAAGUGGUAACUUCCUACCUCCAUCAUGGCGGAAGCUCAUGAGUGAUCCUGUGAGUGUCUUAGUUUUUGAGUGUGUUGAUAACUGGAUUUUUGUCGUACAUUUUGCUAGCA